rnacentral:rRNA from 1 species
AGUGAAUAGAUACCCGGGUAGUCCACGCCGUAAACGAUGCCUACUAGGUCGUAGAACCUCUGACGGUUUUAUGGCCGAAAGCAAAAAAAGUGUUAAAGUAGGCCGCCUGGGGAGUACGGUCGCAAGGCUAAAACUCAAAGGAAUUGACGGGGGCUCACACAAGCGGUGGAGCAUGUGGAUUAAUUCGAAGCAACGCGCAGAACCUUACCUGGGUUUGACAUGGUUGGAUGCCUUAUUGGAAACAGUGUAGGCUGCCCGCAAGGGUGAAACUUUCACAGGUGCUGCAUGGCUGUCGUCAGCUCGUGUCGUGAGAUGUCGGGUUAAGUCCCUUAACGAGCGAAACCCUUGUCAUUAGUUACCAUCAGGUUAUGCUGGGAACUCUAACGAGACUGCCGGUGUUAAACCGGAGGAAGGUGGGGAUGACGUCAAGUCCUCAUGGCCUUUAUGCCCAGGGCUUCACACGUGCUACAAUGGCGAGUACAGAGCGAUGCAAGACCGCGAGGUGGAGCAAAUCGCACAAAAGUCGCCCCAGUUCGGAUUGUAGGCU